rnacentral:rRNA from 1 species
UUAAGCGACUAAGCGUACACGGUGGAUGCCCUGGCAGUCAGAGGCGAUGAAGGACGUGCUAAUCUGCGAUAAGCGUCGGUGAGGUGAUAUGAACCGUUAUAACCGGCGAUUUCCGAAUGGGGAAACCCAGUGUGUUUCGACACACUAUCAUUAACUGAAUCCAUAGGUUAAUGAGGCGAACCGGGGAACUGAAACAUCUAAGUACCCCGAGGAAAAGAAAUCAACCGAGAUUCCCCCAGUAGCGGCGAGCGAACGGGGAGGAGCCCAGAGCCUGAAUCAGUGUGUGUGUUAGUGGAAGCGUCUGGAAAGGCGUGCGAUACAGGGUGACAGCCCCGUACACAAAAAUGCACAUAUUGUGAGCUCGAUGAGUAGGGCGGGACACGUGGUAUCCUGUCUGAAUAUGGGGGGACCAUCCUCCAAGGCUAAAUACUCCUGACUGACCGAUAGUGAACCAGUACCGUGAGGGAAAGGCGAAAAGAACCCCGGCGAGGGGAGUGAAAAAGAACCUGAAACCGUGUACGUACAAGCAGUGGGAGCCUCUUAAUGGGGUGACUGCGUACCUUUUGUAUAAUGGGUCAGCGACUUAUAUUCUGUAGCAAGGUUAACCGAAUAGGGGAGCCGAAGGGAAACCGAGUCUUAACUGGGCGUUAAGUUGCAGGGUAUAGACCCGAAACCCGGUGAUCUAGCCAUGGGCAGGUUGAAGGUUGGGUAACACUAACUGGAGGACCGAACCGACUAAUGUUGAAAAAUUAGCGGAUGACUUGUGGCUGGGGGUGAAAGGCCAAUCAAACCGGGAGAUAGCUGGUUCUCCCCGAAAGCUAUUUAGGUAGCGCCUCGUGAAUUCAUCUCCGGGGGUAGAGCACUGUUUCGGCAAGGGGGUCAUCCCGACUUACCAACCCGAUGCAAACUGCGAAUACCGGAGAAUGUUAUCACGGGAGACACACGGCGGGUGCUAACGUCCGUCGUGAAGAGGGAAACAACCCAGACCGCCAGCUAAGGUCCCAAAGUCAUGGUUAAGUGGGAAACGAUGUGGGAAGGCCCAGACAGCCAGGAUGUUGGCUUAGAAGCAGCCAUCAUUUAAAGAAAGCGUAAUAGCUCACUGGUCGAGUCGGCCUGCGCGGAAGAUGUAACGGGGCUAAACCAUGCACCGAAGCUGCGGCAGCGACACUAUGUGUUGUUGGGUAGGGGAGCGUUCUGUAAGCCUGUGAAGGUGGCCUGUGAGGGUUGCUGGAGGUAUCAGAAGUGCGAAUGCUGACAUAAGUAACGAUAAAGCGGGUGAAAAGCCCGCUCGCCGGAAGACCAAGGGUUCCUGUCCAACGUUAAUCGGGGCAGGGUGAGUCGACCCCUAAGGCGAGGCCGAAAGGCGUAGUCGAUGGGAAACAGGUUAAUAUUCCUGUACUUGGUGUUACUGCGAAGGGGGGACGGAGAAGGCUAUGUUGGCCGGGCGACGGUUGUCCCGGUUUAAGCGUGUAGGCUGGUUUUCCAGGCAAAUCCGGAAAACCAAGGCUGAGGCGUGAUGACGAGGCACUACGGUGCUGAAGCGACAAAUGCCCUGCUUCCAGGAAAAGCCUCUAAGCAUCAGGUAACAUCAAAUCGUACCCCAAACCGACACAGGUGGUCAGGUAGAGAAUACCAAGGCGCUUGAGAGAACUCGGGUGAAGGAACUAGGCAAAAUGGUGCCGUAACUUCGGGAGAAGGCACGCUGAUAUGUAGGUGAAGCGACUUGCUCGUGGAGCUGAAAUCAGUCGAAGAUACCAGCUGGCUGCAACUGUUUAUUAAAAACACAGCACUGUGCAAACACGAAAGUGGACGUAUACGGUGUGACGCCUGCCCGGUGCCGGAAGGUUAAUUGAUGGGGUUAGCGGCAACGCGAAGCUCUUGAUCGAAGCCCCGGUAAACGGCGGCCGUAACUAUAACGGUCCUAAGGUAGCGAAAUUCCUUGUCGGGUAAGUUCCGACCUGCACGAAUGGCGUAAUGAUGGCCAGGCUGUCUCCACCCGAGACUCAGUGAAAUUGAACUCGCUGUGAAGAUGCAGUGUACCCGCGGCAAGACGGAAAGACCCCGUGAACCUUUACUAUAGCUUGACACUGAACAUUGAGCCUUGAUGUGUAGGAUAGGUGGGAGGCUUUGAAGUGUGGACGCCAGUCUGCAUGGAGCCGACCUUGAAAUACCACCCUUUAAUGUUUGAUGUUCUAACGUUGGCCCGUAAUCCGGGUUGCGGACAGUGUCUGGUGGGUAGUUUGACUGGGGCGGUCUCCUCCUAAAGAGUAACGGAGGAGCACGAAGGUUGGCUAAUCCUGGUCGGACAUCAGGAGGUUAGUGCAAUGGCAUAAGCCAGCUUGACUGCGAGCGUGACGGCGCGAGCAGGUGCGAAAGCAGGUCAUAGUGAUCCGGUGGUUCUGAAUGGAAGGGCCAUCGCUCAACGGAUAAAAGGUACUCCGGGGAUAACAGGCUGAUACCGCCCAAGAGUUCAUAUCGACGGCGGUGUUUGGCACCUCGAUGUCGGCUCAUCACAUCCUGGGGCUGAAGUAGGUCCCAAGGGUAUGGCUGUUCGCCAUUUAAAGUGGUACGCGAGCUGGGUUUAGAACGUCGUGAGACAGUUCGGUCCCUAUCUGCCGUGGGCGCUGGAGAACUGAGGGGGGCUGCUCCUAGUACGAGAGGACCGGAGUGGACGCAUCACUGGUGUUCGGGUUGUCAUGCCAAUGGCACUGCCCGGUAGCUAAAUGCGGAAGAGAUAAGUGCUGAAAGCAUCUAAGCACGAAACUUGCCCCGAGAUGAGUUCUCCCUGACUCCUUGAGAGUCCUGAAGGAACGUUGAAGACGACGACGUUGAUAGGCCGGGUGUGUAAGCGCAGCGAUGCGUUGAGCUAACCGGUACUAAUGAACCGUGAGGCUUAACCUU